rnacentral:rRNA from 1 species
AUUGAACGCUGGCGGCAGGCUUAACACAUGCAAGUCGAGCGGAGAUGAGGUGCUUGCACCUUAUCUUAGCGGCGGACGGGUGAGUAAUGCUUAGGAAUCUGCCAUUUAGUGGGGGACAACAUUCCGAAAGGAAUGCUAAUACCGCAUACGUCCUACGGGAGAAAGCAGGGGAUCUUCGGACCUUGCGCUAAAUGAUGAGCCUAAGUCGGAUUAGCUAGUUGGUGGGGUAAAGGCCUACCAAGGCGACGAUCUGUAGCGGGUCUGAGAGGAUGAUCCGCCACACUGGGACUGAGACACGGCCCAGACUCCUACGGGAGGCAGCAGUGGGGAAUAUUGGACAAUGGGGGGAACCCUGAUCCAGCCAUGCCGCGUGUGUGAAGAAGGCCUUAUGGUUGUAAAGCACUUUAAGCGAGGAGGAGGCUCUUUUGGUUAAUACCCAGGAUGAGUGGACGUUACUCGCAGAAUAAGCACCGGCUAACUCUGUGCCAGCCGCCGCGGUAACAC